rnacentral:rRNA from 1 species
AGCUAGUUGGUGAGGUAACGGCCCACCAAGGCGACGAUCGGUAGCCGGACUGAGAGGUUGAACGGCCACAUUGGGACUGAGACACGGCCCAGACUCCUACGGGAGGCAGCAGUGGGGAAUAUUGCACAAUGGGGGAAACCCUGAUGCAGCGACGCCGCGUGGAGGAAGAAGGUCUUCGGAUUGUAAACUCCUGUUGUUGAGGAAGAUAAUGACGGUACUCAACAAGGAAGUGACGGCUAACUACGUGCCAGUAGCCGCGGUAAAACGUAGGUCACAAGCGUUGUCCGGAAUUACUGGGUGUAAAGGGAGCGCAGGCGGGAGAACAAGUUGGAAGUGAAAUCCAUGGGCUCAACCCAUGAACUGCUUUCAAAACUGUUUUUCUUGAGUAGUGCAGAGGUAGGCGGAAUUCCCGGUGUAGCGGUGGAAUGCGUAGAUAUCGGGAGGAACACCAGUGGCGAAGGCGGCCUACUGGGCACCAACUGACGCUGAGGCUCGAAAGUGUGGGUAGCAAACAGGAUUAGAUACCCUGGUAGUCCACACCGUAAACGAUGAUUACUAGGUGUUGGAGGAUUGACCCCUUCAGUGCCGCAGUUAACACAAUAAGUAAUCCACCUGGGGAGUACGACCGCAAGGUUGAAACUCAAAGGAAUUGACGGGGGCCCGCACAAGCAGUGGAGUAUGUGGUUUAAUUCGACGCAACGCGAAGAACCUUACCAAGUCUUGACAUCCCUUGACGAUGCUGGAAACAGUAUUUCUCUUCGGAGCAAGGAGACAGGUGGUGCAUGGUUGUCGUCAGCUCGUGUCGUGAGAUGUUGGGUUAAGUCCCGCAACGAGCGCAACCCUUAUGGUCAGUUACUACGCAAGAGGACUCUGGCCAGACUGCCGUUGACAAAACGGAGGAAGGUGGGGAUGACGUCAAAUCAUCAUGCCCUUUAUGACUUGGGCUACACACGUACUACAAUGGCGUUAAACAAAGAGAAGCAAGACCGCGAGGUGGAGCAAAACUCAGAAACAACGUCCCAGUUCGGACUGCAGGCUGCAACUCGCCUGCACGAAGUCGGAAUUGCUAGUAAUCGUGGAUCAGCAUGCCACGGUGAAUACGUUCCCGGGCCUUGUACACACCGCCCGUCACACCAUGAGAGCCGGGGGGACCCGAAGUCGGUAGUCUAACCGUAAGGAGGACGCCGCCGAAGGUAAAACUGGUGAUUGGGGUGAAGUCGGAACAAGGUAGCCGUAGGAGAACCUGCGGCUG